rnacentral:tRNA from 1 species
CAGAAGGUAGUUUAGUUAAAAAUUUUAAUUUUGGAGAUUAAAGAUAGGAAAUUUUCUUUCUUCUGA